rnacentral:rRNA from 1 species
GACGAACGCUGGCGGCGUGCUUAACACAUGCAAGUCGAACGAAGAGCGACGGAAGCUUGCUUCUAUCAAUCUUAGUGGCGAACGGGUGAGUAACGCGUAAUCAACCUGCCCUUCAGAGGGGGACAACAGUUGGAAACGACUGCUAAUACCGCAUACGAUCUAAACUCGGCAUCGAGGAUAGAUGAAAGGUGGCCUCUACAUGUAAGCUAUCACUGAAGGAGGGGAUUGCGUCUGAUUAGCUAGUUGGAGGGGUAACGGCCCACCAAGGCGAUGAUCAGUAGCCGGUCUGAGAGGAUGAACGGCCACAUUGGGACUGAGACACGGCCCAGACUCCUACGGGAGGCAGCAGUGGGGAAUCUUCCGCAAUGGACGAAAGUCUGACGGAGCAACGCCGCGUGAGUGAUGACGGCCUUCGGGUUGUAAAGCUCUGUUAAUCGGGACGAAAGGCCUUCUUGCAAAUAGUGAGAAGGAUUGACGGUACCGGAAUAGAAAGCCACGGCUAA